GUGGCUUAUUUAACAAGCUGUUUGGGGAAUCGCUCGGCUCGAGCGCCGAAGAAGGUCGUGUCAAGCUGCGAAAAGCGCCGGGUAGGUGCAAGAAGCCUAUGAUCCGGUGACAGCCGAAUGGGACUUCCUAGUCUU
rnacentral:rRNA from 1 species